rnacentral:rRNA from 1 species
UACGUAGGGGGCUAGCGUUGUCCGGAUUUAUUGGGCGUAAAGAGCGUGUAGGCGGCCAGGUAGGUCUGCUGUGAAAACUCGAGGCUCAACCUCGAGACGUCGGCGGAAACCAUCUGGCUAGAGUCCGGAAGAGGAGAGUGGAAUUCCUGGUGUAGCGGUGAAAUGCGCAGAUAUCAGGAAGAACAUCAGUGGCGAAGGCGGCCUGCUGGGCUGUUGCUGACGCUGAGGCGCGACAGCGUGGGGAGCAAACAGG